rnacentral:ncRNA from 1 species
NNNNNNNNNNNNNCCUCAUGAACUGGGCUGAUAAGUGCCUUAGGAAAGCACGAAUUUGGCUUAAACUGUCAAACUCCGGGGACACCUUAAAGCUUAUGAUACCAAGCUAUAUUCGAAAGGGUAUAAGUGGCUGAACUAAUCCUUCAGGUAAGGUAAUAAGUCAUAAGAUGAGCGAAAGUGAAAUAGGUUAUCGCGGAUCUAAAUCAAAAUAUUUAUUAAACAAAAAGCCAAUCCAAAUUAAAAAUAAAUGUUUUGUAAAAGAGCAACGAGCAGACGGCAGUUGGUUUUUUAAUAAAAACUUAGGUGCUGCCUCUAAUGGGUUUGAAGAAACUAUCAACCUAGAUCUCGCUAAACAAUUAUUAAAUAAAACAAGAAGCUAUUCAACUUCAAAUUCUCCAAUUCAGAUAUUUCCUAUUAAUCCUUGGUUUAUUACAGGAUUUACGGAUGCUGAAGGUUCAUUUAUGGUUUCUAUAACUAAAAAUGAAAACUCUAAAUUAAAGUGAGGAAUAUAUCCUUCUUUUGCUAUACAUAUCCAUAAUAAAGAUAUAUCAUUACUAAAUCAAAUCCAAAAAACUUUAGGAGUAGGUAAUGUAAGAAAAAAUAGUAAAACAACAGCUUUAUUUAGAGUAGAUAAUCUUAAAGAAUUACAAGUUAUUAUAAAUCAUUUUGAUAAAUAUCCAUUGGUUAGUUUUAAAGCUUCAGAUUAUAUAAUAUUUAAAAAGUGUUAUAAUCUAAUUAUGCAAAAACAACAUUUAACUCAAAAGGGGUUUGAAGAAAUAUUAUCUUUAAAGUAUAAACUUAAUAAAGGGUUACCGGAUAAUUUAAAAAAAACGUUUCCACAUAUUAUACCUAUUGAAAGACCAGAGUAUAUUUUUAUAAACAUACCUAAUCCUUAUUGGAUUUCUGGUUUUGCUUCUGGGGAUUCUACAUUUAGUGUUUCAAUAGAAAACAGUAAUAAUAAAUUAGGGAAAAGAGUUAGAUUAAUAUUUGGUACUUGUCUUCACAUAAGAGAUAAAGAAUUAUUAAUAGGGAUGGCAAAUUAUUUUUAUAAUUCAUUUGAAAACUUAAACAAAUCUGUUUUAAAUAAACAGAACAAAUUGAGUGAUUCAAUUGAACAUAAAUAUAAAUAUAAUUAUGAUUCUCCUACAACUUCUCUUCUUCAAAUUAAAAAAUAUUCUGAUAUACGAGAUAUAAUUAUACCUUUUUUUAAUAAGUACCCUAUUUUAGGCGUUAAACACUUAGAUUUUUAUGAUUUUAAAUUAAUAUCUAAUUUAAUAGAUAAUAAAGAACAUCUAACUCAAGAUCGGUUUAAAUAAAAUAAUAGAAAUAACCAAAGGAAUGAAUUUAGAUAGAGAUUUGAAUAGUUAAUUAAUAAUUGCAUGCUAAAUCUAAUUUCCAUGAUAGACGUGCUGCAAAAACUUUUN